GAUGAAGAAACGCAGCGAAAUGCGAUAAGUAAUGUGAAUUGCAGAAUUCAGUGAAUCAUCGAAUCUUUGAACGCACCUUGCGCCCUUUGGCCAUUCCGAAGGGCAUGCCUGUUUGAGUAUCAUGAACACCUCAACUCUUUAUGGUUUUCCAUGAUGAGCUUGGACUCUGGGGGUUUUGCUGGCUCACAGUCGGCUCCUCUAAAAUGAAUCAGCUUACCAGUGUUUGGUGGGUAUCAUGGGUGUGAUAACUAUCUACGCUUGUGGUUUUUCCACCAGGUAACCUUCAGCAGUGGAGGUUCGCUGGAGCUCAUAGAUGUCUCUCCUCAGUGAGGACAGCCCUUUGAAUGUUUGAUCUCAAAUCAGGUAGGACUACCCGCUGAACUUAAGCAUAUCAAUAAGCGGAGGA
rnacentral:misc_RNA from 1 species